rnacentral:rRNA from 1 species
UGGGGAAUAUUGGGCAAUGGGCGAAAGCCUGACCCAGCAACGCCGCGUGAGUGAUGAAGGCCUUCGGGUUGUAAAACUCUUUGGACAGGGACGCAGAAAGUGACGGUACCUGUAGAACAAGCCACGGCUAACUACGUGCCAGCAGCCGCGGUAAUACGUAGGUGCCGAGCGUUAUCCGGAUUUCCUGGGCGUAAAGGGCGUGUAGGCGGCUAGACAAGGGUGAUGUUUAAAUCCAAGGCUUAACCUUGGGGUUCAUUACAAACUGUUUAGCUUGAGUGCUGGAGAGGAUAGGGGAAUUCCUAGUGUAGCGGUAAAAUGCGUAGAUAUUAGGAGGAACACCGGUGGCGAAGGCGGCGAUCUGGACAGUAACAAACGCUGAGGCGCGAAAGCGUGGGGAGCAAACAGG